GCCGGAGCGAGGUACCCCUCAGGGCGGUGAGGAAGGGAAGAGUAACUUCAGAUUGAGGUCAAGUCUCCAACCGUUGUAAACAUGGACUGCAUUCUUCUGGAACCCUACAGAUGUUCUCUAUGGAAGCAACUUCUCAAGAGGAUGGCUUUUUUUGUUUUGUUAUAAUUGUGAAAAAACACGCAAAACAUAAAAUUUACUAUUUCAACAAUUUUUAAAGGUACAAUUCAGCGACAUUAAGUACAUUUGAAAAUUGUGCAACCAGUGCCACUAUCCAUUUCCAGAACUUUUUCAUCAUCCCAGACAGCAAAUCCAUAUGCAUUAGACAAUAACUCCCAUUACCUCCCCCCUCAGGGGAUUACUUUUGAACAGUUUUGGUGCCCACAAAAAUCUGUGGCUAUGUUUACACACCUUUUUAAGGGCUUUAUCAUUUCAUUUAUUUAGCAAACAUUUACUAGGCAACUGUACUGGAUGAAAUGUUAGAGAUCGGUCAUCAAAUAAAUACCAAUUCUUUACCCGAAGGAGCUUGCAAUGAACUGAGAUAGAUAAAUAAGUGAUAUCAGUGAGCUGUGAUAAAUGCAAUGAGAGAAAGGAAAGAAGAGAACUGGCUGGAGAUCUAGAGUUCAUGGAACACACACUGUCAGACUGACUGCAUCAAGUGCUUUUGCGUAUUACUUCUCUUCAUAAAAGCCCUGUGAAGUACCGGCUGUUACCCUAUCUUGCAGAUAAGCAAUCUGAAACCUAGGAUGGUCCAGCAAGUUGCCCACAGGUGCUUCCACAGGGAAGGGAAGCACUAAACAGGCAAUGUUACCCAAAGAUUAUGUGACCAUUCAGAAGUUCCCCCGACCAGUCAGGAAAAAUUGUACACUUUUAAGGGCCUGUGGAGGAAAACCACUGAAGAGCAGAGGGAAGAGAAGGGAGGCACUGACUUCUGGCAAAUACCAGUUCUGCACCAACUAGCUGUGGGACUCUUUCUCAAUCUCCUCAUCUGUAAGGGUGGUAAUAAGGGAUCUUUAAAGUGUCUUACAGCUUUAAAAAUCUAUCAUUUCAACUCUUAUUUGAAUAAAAUCCAAUACAUUUGGAGAAAAUAAAAGGUAUUUUCAGUAUUCCAAGGUAUGACGAAGCUUGUUAAGGACAUUUUAGAUUGUUAAUGUCUUAGAACAGAUUUCUUGACAUAAAUUCAAACUGGAUAUUGUUGGAGGAUGUCGUUGAGAGGACAUGACUGCCAAUUGACCUGCAAGCUGGACUUGGGCAAUCGGAGGCUCCUUACACCCUCCCCAUCCUUGGAUUGUACAUUCUGCCCACUGUUCCCAAAGUGGGAGCCAUUUUUAAGGAUGUAUCCUUGAGAGAGCAGUGUGUUAUUGAGACCAUCUGGAUGGCAUACAUGACUGAACCCAGUGAAGGCCUCUGUAUAAACUUUUAAGAUUCUGGAGGGCAAGUAUGGAGAUCUACUCAUCCUGCAGCCACCCAAGACAAGCCUUGUGAGUAAGUUCCUGUGCUUGUUAAUCCUGCCCCCUACCAAUCUGGAGUGCUCUGCUUCUUUCUUAGUCCUUGCUCUUUAUGUACAGGGGUGUUCACAAACCAACAGAUGUAUAGUAUUUUUCUUAUUGAGAUUUCAAUUUUUAUAACACAUACGAUCCGUUAUUGUAAUAUACAAGAAGUUGGUAAUAUAUUUAGAAAUUUAUUUCUCAGUUGACUUAGAAUUGCGAUUGUUUUAUUUAUUAGCAUAUCUAUGCUUUUUUAUUACCCUGAGGUUUUCGAUGACUUUGAGACUAUAAGAAAAGCUACAGAAAAUAUGGGAAAAUGAGACAAAUGUAUGUGAAUAUACAUGAUGGUUGAAUUAAAAUUUUCCAUCAUAUCUUUUAUGAUUCUUUAUCAUCCUAAAAAAACAGAAAAAUAUAUUAAAAUUCUCUUCAGUCUUAAAUGGAACAUUUAACAAUCAUGAAAUGGCAUAUCAGUGGGUAAAAAAUUAAAUUUCCCUUAAGAAUUUCCAUACUAAAAUGCAUAAAUUUCCACGUAACCAACAAAUAAUUCACUCAUAUGAAAGACUGAAUUGCUUCUGUUACCUUCAUUUUGGGGAAUGGUCAUACAAUUCUAUGAAGUUUUCAGGUCUUACUCUUUUGUUACAAUUUGUCAGUUUCCCCUCUGGAUCUGGGAGCUUUCGUCAGCCAACCAAGGACCAGCUUUCUGAACUUCUUUUCCUUUGGACACAGCACUGGGAUGAAAAAUUCUGAAGAAUUAUGCCUGUUUGCCCACUGGUCAGGAGUACACAUGGUCAUAGACUGAUUAAAACAAGAUUUUCUGCAGAACGUGGCUGAUUUUCCAAAGUGCAGUGACGCAGUUCCUUUUUGCUCCCUAUCCCCACCAUACCCUCUCUGGACUGGAUUCAUGAGAAGACAGUUUUCAGUUGAAGAAACUCAGGCACUUAUGGAAACAACACUGAAUAGGUGGGUGUAACUUUUCCUUCUUAUCCCAGGCUUGCCCAGGCUCAUCGCAUCUUAAUUUCCACAUUGUUGAGCUGAAUUGUUAAUGAAGCUCCUCAUGCUCUUUCAUCCUACUACUGACUGUUACCCCAUUUAUCCAACUUUUGAUGACUUUCCCUCAAAAACCCCUCUCUUUCUAAAUUUAACUUAAUUCCUCAAAAUAAUCAUACAGUAACUUUGACCUUUUUUUCUAUUGAAGUAGAAUUCUAUGAGAUUUAACACGAUUCUUGUAAUCACGAGAAUCAGGAAAAUGAACUGUCCCAUCACCCAAAAAGCUCCCUUGAGCCAUCCCUUUAGAGUCACACCCCCUUCCCCUAGCCCCUGACAACCACUGAUUUGAUUGCUAUUGUUAUAAUGUCUUUUUGAGACUGUCAAGUAAGUGGAAUCAUACAAUAUAUAACCUUUUGACCAGCUUCUCUCACUCAGCAUAAUGCUUUUAAAAUGGACUCAAGUUGUUUAGUAUAUCAGUAAUUUGUUCCUGUUACCACUUACUGGUAUUCCGUUGUGUGAAUACACCACAGUUUGUUCAUGCCUUCGCUCAUUGAAGGACAUUGGGUAAUUUCUAGUUAUUAGCUAUUACAAACAAAUCUGCUAUGAACACAUGUGUACAGGCUUUUAUAUGAACAUAAGUUUUUAUUUCUCUAGGGUAAAUACCCAGGAGUGUGGUCAUGGGGUCAGUGGUAAGGGUAUAUUUAACAUUAUACAAAACUGUUUUUCCAAGUGGCUACACCACUUUGCAUUCCCACCAGCAAUAUGUGAAUUCCAGUUCCUCUUCAGCACUUGGUAUUCUCAAUAUUUUUUAUUUUAGCCAUUCUGAUAGCUAUGUAGUGGUAUCUAAUUGUUGUUUUGUAUUUGCAUUUAUCUGUGACUAAUAAUGUUGAGCAUUUUUUCAUGUGUUUAUUUGCCAUCCUUAUAUCUUCUU